AUGGUGGAUCAAGGUGAAAAGAAGAACUCCAUGCAGAAACUUCACAUCUGCAAGCUCUGCCGCAACAUCUGUGUUGAGAGUGGAGACAGACUGACACGAGCAGCCAAGGUGUUGGAGCAGCUCACAGGGCAGAGUCCUGUGUUUUCCAGAGCUAGAUACAAUCAGAUCCUCUGGCAUGCAGAGAAAUGAAAAGAUUGCUGUCCACUACACAGUUCAAGGGUCCAAGGCAGAAGAAAUCCUGGAGAAGGAUCUAAAGGUGCAGAAGUAUGAGUUAAGAAAAAAUAACUUCUCAGAUACUAGAAACUUUGGUUUUGGGAUCCAGGAACACAUUGAUUUGGGUAUCAUAUAUGACCCAAGCAUUGGUAUCUAUGGCCUGGACUUCUCUGUGGUGCUGGGUAGGCCAGGUUUCAGCAUCACUGACAAGAAGCACAGGACAGGCUGCACUAGGGCCAAACACAGACUCGGCAAAGAGGAGAUCAUGCGUUGCUUCCAGCAUAAGUAUGAUGGGAUCAUCUUUCCUGACAAAUAA